rnacentral:rRNA from 1 species
GGGCUUGACAUCCCACGAACCUGGCUUAGUAGCCGGGGUGCCGAAAGGAAUGCAGAGACAGGUGCUGCAUGGCUGUCGUCAGCUCGUGUUGUGAGAUGUUGGGUUAAGUCCCGCAACGAGCGCAACCCUUGCCGAUAAUUACUAACAGGUAAAGCUGAGGACUUUAUUGGGACCGCCGGGGACAACUCGGAGGAAGGUGGGGAUGACGUCAAGUCAGCAUGGCCUUUAUGUCUGGGGCUACACACGUGCUACAAUGGCCGGUACAAAGAGAAGCGAGGGCGCGAGCCGGAGCGGAUCUCAGAAAAGCGGUCACAGUUCGGAUUGUGGGCUGCAACCCGCCCACAUGAAGCGGGAGUUGCUAGUAAUCGCGGAUCAGCACGCCGCGGUGAAUACGUUCCCGGGCCUUGUACACACCGCCCGUCACAUCACGAAAGCUGGCUGUACUCGAAGUCGCUGAG